UACGGGGGGGGCAAGCGUUGUUCGGAAUUACUGGGCGUAAAGGGCUCGUAGGCGGCCAACUAAGUCGGACGUGAAAUCCCUCGGCUUAACCGGGGAACUGCAUCUGAUACUGGAUGGCUUGAGGUUGGGAGAGGGAUGCGGAAUUCCUGGUGUAGCGGUGAAAUGCGUAGAUAUCAGGAGGAACACCGGGGGUGCAGACGGCUCUCUGGACCGUAACUGACGCUGAGACACGAAAGCGUGGGGAGCAAACAGG
rnacentral:rRNA from 1 species